CCUUCUUCCAGGACCCCCGCUCCAGAUUGGGGAACUUCUGGGUGGGGCAGAGUAUCUGCAAGGGAGAACACAUUUUUGCUCUCUGAAAGACUCAAUUAGGAAGAGGGAAAGAUAAGCUACAGAUUGGGA